rnacentral:rRNA from 1 species
UACGUAGGGGGCAAGCGUUGUCCGGAUUUACUGGGCGUAAAGAGCGUGUAGGCGGCCAAACAGGUCCGUUGUGAAAACUGGAGGCUUAACCUCCAGACGUCGACGGAAACCGUGUGGCUAGAGUCCGGAAGAGGAGAGUGGAAUUCCUGGUGUAGUGGUGAAAUGCGUAGAGAUCGGCAGGAACACCCAGGGGGAAACCAGUCGACUGGGCAUCUACUGACGCUGAGGUGCGAGAGCGUGGGGGAGCGAACCGG